AUUGAACGCUGGCGGCAUGCCUUACACAUGCAAGUCGAACGACAUCGCGGGAAAGCUUGCUUUCCUGGGUUCGAGUGGCGAACGGGUGAGUAACACAGCUAAACGUACCGUCUAGUUGGGGUAAACCCGUCGAAAGACGGGCAAAUACCGCAUAUGCUCUUCAGAGGAUAGUAGAGUACCGUUGGACCUUUCUCUAGCCGAUCGGCCGAUGUCCGAUUAGCUAGUUGGUGGGGUAAAGGCCUGCCAAGGCGACGAUCGGUAGCGGGUCUGAGAGGACGAUCGGCCACACUGGGACUGAGACACGGCCCAGACUCCUACGGGAGGCAGCAGUGGGGAAUCUUCGACAAUGGGCGAAAGCCUGACCCAGCAAUGCCGCGUGGGUGAAGAAGGCCUUCGGGUUGUAAAGCCCUUUCGGCAGGGAAGAAAUAGGAGGGGAGAAUAACCCUGCUGGAUGACGGUACCUGAAGAGAAAGCAACGGCUAACUACGUG
rnacentral:rRNA from 1 species